GACGAACGCUGGCGGCGUGCUUAACACAUGCAAGUCGAACGGAAAGACCCUGCUUUUGUGGGGUGCUCGCGUGGCGAACGGGUGAGUAACACGUGAGUAACCUGCCCUUGACUUUGGGAUAACUUCAGGAAACUGGGGCUAAUACCGGAUAGGAGCUCCUGCUGCAUGGUGGGGGUUGGAAAGUUUCGGCGGUUGGGGAUGGACUCGCGGCUUAUCAGCUUGUUGGUGGGGUAGUGGCUUACCCAGGCUUUGACGGGUAGCCGGCCUGGGAGGGGAAACGGGGACAUUGGGACUGAGGUACGGACCAGACUCCAACGGGAGGCAGCGGUGGGGAAUAUUGCACAAUGGGCGGAAGCCUGAGGCAGCAACGCCGCGUGCGGGAUGACGGCCUUCGGGUUGUAAACCGCUUUCGCCUGUGACGAAGCGUGAGUGACGGUAAUGGGUAAAGAAGCACCGGCUAACUACGUG
rnacentral:rRNA from 1 species